rnacentral:rRNA from 1 species
GAUGAACGCUGGCGAGAUGCCUUACACAUGCAAGUCGUACGGGAAUUUUUAAUUCAAGUGGCGGACGGGUGAGUAACACGUAAGAAUUUGCCUUUAGGAGGGGGACAACAACUGGAAACGGUUGCUAAUACCCCAUAUGCUUUCGAGUGAAAUGGAUUUUUCCGCCUAAAGAGAAGCUUGCGGCUGAUUAGCUUGUUGGUGAGGUAAUGGCUCACCAAGGCGACGAUCAGUAUCUGGUUUGAGAGGAUGAUCAGACACACUGGAACUGAGACACGGUCCAGACUCCUACGGGAGGCAGCAGUGGGGAAUUUUCCGCAAUGGGCGAAAGCCUGACGGAGCAAUCUCGCGUGAGGGAUGACGGCCUAUGGGUUGUAAACCUCUUUUUUUCAGGGAGGAACAAAAUGACGUGUACCUGAAGAAUAAGCAUCGGCUAACUCCGUG